rnacentral:lncRNA from 1 species
AGGGGUAUAAGGAAAGAGUCUAAUGAAGGUGCAGCAAUGGGCACACACCUGGUCAGAACAUUGGCAGACACACAGGUUCAAGGAGUGGCCAGAGCAUUGUGCACCUCUAUUUUUCUAAAUCAGUGAAGCUAGUUCUGCUAACACUGACGUCCAUCUUGCCAAUUUCAGGGCUUCUGUGUCCUUUUACAUUCUGCCAGGAUCUUUCAUUGGGACUUCUCACAGGACCAAAGCUCAUCAUCUGCAGCUACUCUGCCUACUCAGCUGUCCCAGAGGAUGUAAGGUUACAGGCUCCUCUUAAUGUGAUUUCGCCUGCAAUGAUAGCUCUGGCUGACAAAUAACUGACGUGGUAUCUAGCGCAAAUGAAGAGCCGCAUGAUGCUGAGACUAUCAAUCUAUCCAGUUUUCGGCUUCCUUUCUCCACAUCCCUGAUGUGCCCAGAGCUCAUGAAGCUCCUUCCUGCACUAUGUGGGCUGGCCACCAGGAGGAAGCCCCCAGCUUAGUCCCAGCUUGAUUUCUCUGUAUCCUACAAGUAUGUGUGAUGUCCUCAGCAAUAGAAUCUUACUCCCUAGUUCUGUUGAGCAACCAACAACAGUAAAAGUCGCGUGUAUUUGGAGAGCAAAAAGAGCCAACCUGACGAACAACUCAUAGACAUCCCAUGUUGUUACCCACUACCGUACAUGAACUGCUAGUUGACCAAAUUCAAACAUCACUUGGGAGGGAGUGGUCGGGGUAGGACCGUGGAAACAUCUCUAUUGAGUUUGUAUCAUCCUAGAAUGUUGCGAUCUGCUUUCCUAUUUGAUAAAAUAUCUAUAGUCAUAAAAAUAAUAGGCGCAUUAUUAAUUCAAACAUAACACAAACUCUAUCCCCCCAUAAUAUGAGGAUCAAUGUCCACUUCUUAAAAUUUGGCACCAGCGAGACUGAGGUCAUACAUAGGGUGCCCCCUAAAUUUAAAAUGAUACUUAUCUAAAAGGAUUUGUCUGGGGUCAAAGUCCACAGCCUAGUCAGUGUCUCAGGGGUCUCCAGGACCACUGUACCAAGCACAGUAUUUAGAGACUACAUCAAGUGUAUGACUCCAUGGGAUUUCACAUUCUGUAAUGGUGAAGGUAUCUGUUAACAAAGGAGCAAUAUUUCAAGGAAAAAUCUAGCAUACUAAAUAUGCACGGCUUUUAACUUGCAUCUUUUCAUAUGGCAGUGUGCCUCCUUUUUUUAGAUAUAUUUACUUCAUGUUUAUGAGUGAUUUGCCUGCAUGUAUAUCUGUGCACAGUGUUCGUGCCUGGUGCCUAUGGAAGUCAGAAAAGGGUGUUGAAUCCUCUGGAACUGGAGUUAUUGGUGGCAUCAUUGAAUGCUGAUAAUCAAAUCUGGGACCUCUGGAAGAACAAGUGUUCUUAGCCACUGAGCCAUCUCUCCAGCCCCACAUUGUCCCUCUUUCUUCUUAAGCUCCUGAGCAGAGGUGCCCCCUGGGUGUCAGAAAGCAGACACUUCAGAGUCACUACCUGCCUUAGUCAGUUUUGUGGGAUUCGGACAAUGCUCCCUGCCCUUCUCCAUACUCAUUUUCUUCAUCAUCUCUAGGACAGUGUUUCAGUGGGAGGAGUUGAUUCCCAAGGAAGCCCUGUCGUGCUGAGAGAAAAGCCAAGUUCUGAGCAGUGAGGACACUUUCUGCUUUCAUUCCUAUUUUGAAGGAGGUGAUGCGAGAAACAAGAAACAUCUUUGCUCAUGCUGAUGCAGCAAAUCUGGUAAAAGGUUUAUACCAGAAACUACAUCUGGCUUCGGACACUCCCACUCAUGUAUAGGAAAUGUCGGGGAAACUACUUCCAUGAAUUCUCACCAGCAUGGCUGCCUAAACAAGAUCUGAACAAAGACCACAUCAAGAGACAUGUCACAUGAAAAAGGGAGAGAUCCUGUGGCAUGAAUCUUACAAGCAACUAGACAAUGGAAGGAGUAGGAGAAAUCGCCUUCCCUGGGGAAGAGGUCCCAACCCUGAAGUCGUUUACAUACAGGAAUAACACGACUUACAACAUCUGCAACAGGAACUGACGAAUCCCAGGAAGAGGUGGGAGCUUGUGCCAGUGUGGGUGCCCACUCAGUUCUGACCCUGCAAAACCAGCGCUGCAGAAUUUCUUCUAUAGACACAUGCACAAAUGCUAUCCCUCUUGGACCUACAGGAGGCAACAGCCAUUGUUGCCCUGUCCUUUCUCUGCUGCCAUUUAUGAGCUGAGCUUUUAACCAGUCUGCCACAGCCAUGCCUCAGGUCUCCAGGCUACAGCCUACGAUGUGUUAUCUUCUACUAAUAAAUGCGUGGAAUUCAUCUCUGGUUUUUUGUCACAUGGUGGCUGCUUUCUGUCUUGGGACUUCAACUAACAAUAGUUUUAUCCAGUCGGUUGGUUUGGGGUUUUGUUUUGGUUUUGGUUUUGGUUUAGUUGGAGCUAUAGAUUU